GCAGGGAUGGUAUGAAGUGAUCUCGCAUUAGGUUUGACUUUAUUUACUGCCCUUACUGAUGAUUUAGAUGAGUAGAAGAGUAGAAGAAGUUUUGCAAUGUGAUAUUUUAAUAUUAUUCUGAACCAGAUGUCUUAAAGGUAAAAGGGGUUUAUGGGUUUGACUGAACAUAAAAAUGAAGUCACAAGGUAGAAAAUAAUACCUAGAAUAAACCCAGACAAAUGUGGGUACAAUAAAACACAGCAAAAGACUUUUAAACUAUCUAGGUCAUCCUCCAGCACACUCUGAGGAGCUACUAUAAAUCUAUAUAAAUUAUCUGUUAAGGUGGUUCCACAGUGCUUUCCUGCUCAGGAGCAGCUCAUAUUAGCUGCAGCAAAUUAAAGGCUUUGUGUGUAUAAAUACAGGGAAACAUAUCUUACAAAAAUAAAUAAGAAAUUGUGGGUUUAGCUGUAGAUUUUUUCUUGCUCCAGAGACAUCCACAGGGAAUAAUGCAAUAAAACUCAAAAAACCCCACAGCAGCUGUGAAUCCUAUUUAGUCCAAAUCAAAAGGAUUUCAAUUUUUUUCUCCCUCCAUACACAGGGAACGAAAUUUCCAUUCAAAAUUACUUUUACAGUUCCACACUCUAAGGGAGAGGCAAGACUCAGUAGCAGCUGAGAGAUGACAGGUGAGAAGUAUCUGGUAGAAAAGCAUAAAAUACUAAACAGAUUUCAGCAGAGCAGCCCCUGCCCUUAUGGAGGGUCCAGAAAAGAGAAAUUACAAGAAGUAAGUACAAGAAGUGUUGGGAAGAAGAAAAGCUUCUCCCCUGUUGUUGGAGUCAAAGAAGUUCAGCUGUCUUCAUGGUCAGCAUUGAAGACAGACAGGGAGCAGCUAGGAGACAGAAGAGCAUUUAACACCUCCAGUUUUUCUUUCCUAGUCUAGCAGUGCCCGAGCCGUGAUGAACAAAAGUGACCAGUCCUUCUCACUGGAAGGACUCUUCCCACGACUGGAAAAAGGCUUCGAGCCAUAUUGGUUUCAGAUAGCACCAGAGCCAACACAACAUCUGGAGGAAGUUAGCUGACUUAUAUUUCAAGUAGCUAGCAGACAAAUGAUAAAAUAAUCAAAAGAUGUCAUGUAAAUAAGAUGUAUAAUAUGUGGAGCAAUGCUGUGUCUGUAGCUUACUCGUACGACAACAUAUGUGACUGACAGAGUCCAUAGAUAAAAAGCAUGGAUUUACGGGAGCCUUCUGAGCCUGAGAGGGAAUGAAAACAGAGUGUUUCUCUCUCAUCCAAAAGCCAGUUAAGAAAGCAGUAUUUCACCCUUAGGGAACAAUUAAUUAAGUCCAUUUGAAAACCUUUGGUUUACUUUUGCAAGCACAGGCAGCCUAAAGGAGAGAUUUCUGAGUUCAAAUAAAGUUACAGAGGUAAAGUGGUAUAGUAUUUAGCAGUACUGAACUAUCCGAAGAAAUCUGUGGUGCUCCACACAAUAAAUAUGGAUUUAUUUAAGCCUCUUGCCUUGAAAAAAAAAAAGGCUAAAUUACAGCGACCUACAUAACUUUCUUGUGCCAUAUUUAGUGAAAACCUAUACAGUCACUAGUACAUUUCAAUAAGGACUCACUCUUCCCCAGCCCAUUACUCCUUAAGACCUAUUGCUGUCCAGUGUGACCUCAUGAAUAACAAAUUCUCAGUAAGAAAUUCUCUCCAGAAUGAGGCAUCAGGAGUGAAAUUACUUCAGGAUGUCAUGGAGCAAACUGAAUCCUCAAACUGCUGAGGAAGAGAAAAUGACUGGCAACUUUGGCAUUCAACAAGUUUGCAAAAAGCCAUGGAGACUGUUACAAGGAGAGCCAUAUCAUCUGGGAGAGGGAGCUGUAUCAUCCCGGGAGAGGAGAAAUCAGAUAAACCAGUAUGAAUGAUUUUCUAAUUAAGAAGAUGAUUCCCAGGGAAAGAAAUCAACAUGUCACAGGCUGCAAUAGGGACAAAUGCCCUUAAACAUAUGCAUGAAGGAGAAUGAAGAGAUCUACUACCAUAGCAAGGUCCUUCAAGUAGAAGGAAUAAAGGCAAGGCUGCUAUGUGCUUGCUACUGGUUUAUAUCUUGCCCUGGCUCGUGAACCAUCUCCCAGAUCUUCACAAGAAGGUUUUCACUCGUCGAGAGUUUGCAUGUUUUACAAAUUCCUUGGUAACGGAGGAACACAAAACAGCUGCAGUCUCCAGUGAUACCACAGGGGUCUGACUCUGCAAGAUGGCACAGGAGGACAGUAGUAGGGGACUGGAAUUCCAUAAACUUGCCCUAAAGCUUUAACUGAUAUAAGAAAAUCCCACUGGGUGUUCUGGAUUCAGCAGAUCUCUGAAAGAAACAUAUUCCACUGAAAGAAACGUCUUCCACUGAAAAACUUCCAGCUUGAUCUUUUGCUGUCAUUCAAAGUACUUCUUUACAGUGCCUACGAGACAAGAUACUUCGUUCAGACAUGAAGAAACAAAGACUUAUGAGAUAUUAUUACUGUUUCCUACUGCUCUUCACAUUUAUUUGUUUUGGAAAAAUCAGAGAUUCUGCAAACCAUUGUUUGGGGUUAAUGACUGCACAUAUUGUAAUGUCUGCUGUACUUUAAACUUACUCCUCUCUCGCCUGAAGAUAAAAGGCAAUCCCAGCUCUGCAAUGUGAUGAAGACAACCUCGUCUGGGUUCUCUGUGACCUCUUUGUGGAAUGAACAGAAACUGCAGAGACUGCUUUGCACUGGGCAGUGUUCCAUAUUUUGACUUAUCCCGGAGAAGAGGGGAGAUUAAUGAGGUCACAUGCAGAACCACUUGGAUUGUGCUUUCUCAGAGCACACACCAAUGUCAGCACAAAGUGUAAAGAUUUUGCAGUAUCCAUCAAUCACCUGUGGCGGGGCGAUGUAACUGGAAGAAACUCCAUUGAAUUAUUUCUGUGAAACGUGACACGGACGUUGCACUGAUGGCUUUAUAAACUGCA